rnacentral:lncRNA from 1 species
ACAAUUCCCCCAUACUAUUUUGUUUUUAUUAUUAAUUAAAACCAUACUUUAUUUUCUCCUUUCUUUUUAUCAUAAAAAAAUCCUUUCUUUUUUAAGAUAAAAAAACAACAACAAAAAAGAGUUAAAACACCACCUUACCACCCUACAUUCAUUUUUCAAAAUAAAGAGAAGGUUCUCAACUCUCUCAACCCUUCCCCUCCUCCGGUCAUCGGACCAGCCAUCAACCGUCACGCCGGUCACCGGCCACCGACGGCGGCGCUGCAGUCCACGGUGGGCAAAAAAUCUUCCGAGGCCCUUUUUCGCUUCUCUUCUCGAGUAGAGCCCGGAUUUGGGGUUAAAACAACCCAAAAACCUUCAUAAAUUAAUGAGAAACACCAUAAAACUUAAGAAUCCAUUCGGAUUCCGGCCACCGAUCCUUGGCGGUGGUUUCCUCGUUCGUCCACAAUGUUGGAAAACCGAACACCGGUAAGUUCCUUCCCUCUUUUCCUUUUUUUUAUUUUUCAAGUUUUUUUUUGUGUUAAAAUAUUUGUAAAAUAGAUAAAAUGAACGAAUAGAAAGAAGAUCAAAAAUAAAAAUAAGGACAAACACCUUUUGAACUUGUUUUCUCCUUUUGAUUUCUCCCGAAAAUCUCUGUAAUGCAACCCCCCUUAAUACAAUCUCUUCUCUCCAAAAAUCAAUCGAUUCUUCUUCAAAAUACCAUCGAUCCCCCCCAACAAUCGGUUCUAGUAUGCCUUUUAUAGCCAUUUACAAACUUUAUUAUAUAUAUUUGCUAUCUUUUCUUCUUUUUGUAUGGCAGGCAAACGGUGGUGGAGGCAUGUGCCACUUGGUAGUGGUUGGAAGUGGGUGGUUGAGGCUUGCGGCUAGGGUUUCUAAUUUCUGAAAAUAGGUUGUGGGCUAGGGUUUCUAAGCCUUUGGGCUUCUUUUAGGUUUUAAUUGGGUUGGUAGCUUUGUUU